ACCUAACCCCACCAUAUUUUCACAAGAACUUUCCAGUUCUCUCUUCCACCUUCUACUUCCAUUUGCCAUCCUUCACCCAUGACCGAUCCUUCUUCUUCUUCUCUCUUUCAAUCACCAAAUUCCUUCCAAAAUUCAAACACUCAUGAGAAGAAUUUCAUAUCUAAGAAAACUUUUCCCUAAUUCUACAAAUAUACUUGGGUAAAAUUUUGGGAUUUGGUUAGGUGCUCUAGAGAAAGAAGAGAGUCACCCAUUCUUUGAAACAUUUAGAUUCUUUGAAGUUUUGAGAAACAUAGAGUCAUACUACCCAACAAGUACUAUGGUGAAAACAAUUAGUGGGUAUAUUACAAUAUUAUGGGACCAAGGAAAUUGCAAUCCUGUGCCACGGUUUUGCUCCUCAAGAAUCCAAAACCAUGUUGCUGCAAUGGAAAGAAAAAAAAUAAUAAUAAUAAUGAAGAAGAAGCUUGAAUCUGUUUUGUUGUGCUUCGGCUUUUCUUGAAAUGGGUAUGUGGGCAGCUGCUUUCAAUGUUUCUCCUAGGAUGGUUGGAGAACAAGUUUAGUUGAUUCGUCGUAUCGAUUCAAAGUCAAGUGCGUAGAAAGCUUGUAGCAGAGUUAAAGAUAUAUCAAUGUCAUUCUUUUGGUAGGUCUCCUAUAUGUAUGAAAUGAAUGGUCGAUGUAUCUGCAGCUAUUGGUAGUCUAGAAAUGAAUUGUUUUGAAUUGGACAGGAUUUAUAUCUUGGAUAGUAUCCAAAAUACAAAGGAUACUCUGUCGAAAUUUCAUUGGAUAUCAUUUUAAGUGAAAGUAAAUUUGAAAUUUAUCUAAA